rnacentral:rRNA from 1 species
UACGGAGGGUGCAAGCGUUAAUCGGAAUUACUGGGCGUAAAGCGCACGCAGGUGGCUGAGUCAGUCGAUUGUGAAAGCCCUGGGCUUAACCUGGGAAUUGCAGUCGAUACUACUCAGCUAGAGUAUGGGAGAGGGCAGUGGAAUUCCCGGUGUAGCGGUGAAAUGCGUAGAUAUCAGGAGGAACACCGGUGGUGUAGACGGCUCUCUGGACCGUAACUGACGCUGAGACACGAAAGCGUGGGUAGCAAACAGG